GAUGAACGCUGGCGGCGUGCCUAAUACAUGCAAGUCGAGCGAACAGACGAGGAGCUUGCUCCUCUGACGUUAGCGGCGGACGGGUGAGUAACACGUGGAUAACCUACCUAUAAGACUGGGAUAACUUCGGGAAACCGGAGCUAAUACCGGAUAAUAUAUUGAACCGCAUGGUUCAAUAGUGAAAGACGGUUUUGCUGUCACUUAUAGAUGGAUCCGCGCCGCAUUAGCUAGUUGGUAAGGUAACGGCUUACCAAGGCAACGAAGCGUAGCCGACCUGAGAGGGUGAUCGGCCACACUGGAACUGAGACACGGUACAGACUCCUACGGGAGGCAGCAGUAGGGAAUCUUACGCAAUGGGCGAAAGCCUGACGGAGCAACGCCGCGUGAGUGAUGAAGGUCUUCGGAUCGUAAAACUCUGUUAUUAGGGAAGAACAAAUGUGUAAGUAACUAUGCACGUCUUGACGGUACCUAAUCAGAAAGCCACGGCUAACUACGUG
rnacentral:rRNA from 1 species